AAACCAACAGGGAUGGCCUUAGUAGCGGCGAGUGAAGCGGCCAAAGCUCAAAUUUGAAAUCCUCCGGGAAUUGUAAUUUGUAGACUUGUUCUAGGUGACUGACUAAAGUUUGCUGGAAUGCAACGCCUUAGAGGGUGACAGCCCCGUUAAGUCUUAACCGAUUGUAGAGCAAUGUCAAAGAGUCGAGUUGUUUGGGAAUGCAGCUCAAAGUGGGUGGUAAACUCCAUCUAAAGCUAAAUAUUGGCGAGAGACCGAUAGCGAACAAGUACAGUGAUGGAAAGAUGAAAAGAACUUUGAAAAGAGAGUGAAAUAGUACGUGAAAUUGUUGAAAGGGAAGGAUUUAGUGGUAGACUUGGCUUUACGGAACAGUUGUCUCUCGGGAUUGCGUACUCCGUCUUUUGCCGGGUGAAGCCAUGUGAUGAGGGGUUAAGAAACCUCUAGGAAUGUGGCACCAACUUGUUGGUGUGUUAUAGCCUAGAGAAAUUGACCCAUUCGCUACAUUGGCUUCACGUAAUACUACUAAAUCAC
rnacentral:rRNA from 3 species